rnacentral:rRNA from 1 species
CAAGCAGUGGGAGCCCCACCACUAAGCCAGUGGUGAACUCCACAUACGCAUCCUUUGCUGAGGAUACGGUUAACGGAGCGAAAGCGACGUUCAACCGCAAAACAAGCAGAGGGGGCUUAGUGGUGGGGUGACUGCGUACCUUUUGUAUAAUGGGUCAGCGACUUAUAUUCUGUAGCAAGGUUAACCGUAUAGGGGAGCCGCAGGGAAACCGAGUCUUAAUUGGGCGUUAAGUUGCAGGGUAUAGACCCGAAACCCGGUGAUCUAGCCAUGGGCAGGUUGAAGGUUGGGUAACACUAACUGGAGGACCGAACCGACUAAUGUUGAAAAAUUAGCGGAUGACCUGUGGCUGGGGGUGAAAGGCCAAUCAAACCGGGAGAUAGCUGGUUCUCCCCGAAAGCUAUUUAGGUAGCGCCUCGUGAAUUCAUCUCCGGGGGUAGAGCACUGUUUCGGCUAGGGGGCCAUCCCGGCUUACCAACCCGAUGCAAACUGCGAAUACCGGAGAAUGUUAUCACGGGAGACACACGGCGGGUGCUAACGUCCGUCGUGAAGAGGGAAACAACCCAGACCGCCAGCUAAGGUCCCAAAGUCAUGGUUAAGUGGGAAACGAUGUGGGAAGGCCCAGACAGCCAGGAUGUUGGCUUAGAAGCAGCCAUCAUUUAAAGAAAGCGUAAUAGCUCACUGGUCGAGUCGGCCUGCGCGGAAGAUGUAACGGGGCUAAACCAUGCACCGAAGCUGCGGCAGCGACGCUGAUGCGUUGUUGGGUAGGGGAGCGUUCUGUAAGCCUGUGAAGGUGUGUCGUGAGGCAUGCUGGAGGUAUCAGAAGUGCGAAUGCUGACAUAAGUAACGAUAAAGCGGGUGAAAAGCCCGCUCGCCGGAAGACCAAGGGUUCCUGUCCAACGUUAAUCGGGGCAGGGUGAGUCGACCCCUAAGGCGAGGCCGAAAGGCGUAGUCGAUGGGAAACGGGUUAAUAUUCCCGUACUUGGUGUUACUGCGAAGGGGGGACGGAGAAGGCUAUGUUGGCCGGGCGACGGUUGUCCCGGUUUAAGCGUGUAGGCUGGUUUUCCAGGCAAAUCCGGAAAAUCAAGGCUGAGGCGUGAUGACGAGGCACUACGGUGCUGAAGCAACAAAUGCCCUGCUUCCAGGAAAAGCCUCUAAGCAUCAGGUAACAUCAAAUCGUACCCCAAACCGACACAGGUGGUCAGGUAGAGAAUACCAAGGCGCUUGAGAGAACUCGGGUGAAGGAACUAGGCAAAAUGGUGCCGUAACUUCGGGAGAAGGCACGCUGACACGUAGGUGAAGUGAUUUACUCAUGGAGCUGAAGUCAGUCGAAGAUACCAGCUGGCUGCAACUGUUUAUUAAAAACACAGCACUGUGCAAACACGAAAGUGGACGUAUACGGUGUGACGCCUGCCCGGUGCCGGAAGGUUAAUUGAUGGGGUCAGCGCAAGCGAAGCUCCUGAUCGAAGCCCCGGUAAACGGCGGCCGUAACUAUAACGGUCCUAAGGUAGCGAAAUUCCUUGUCGGGUAAGUUCCGACCUGCACGAAUGGCGUAAUGAUGGCCAGGCUGUCUCCACCCGAGACUCAGUGAAAUUGAACUCGCUGUGAAGAUGCAGUGUACCCGCGGCAAGACGGAAAGACCCCGUGAACCUUUACUAUAGCUUGACACUGAACAUUGAGCCUUGAUGUGUAG